UAGGCCACAGCGUCCCAUACCUUGAAAGUCUUAUCCAUAGACGUGGACAGGAGCAUGUGACUCUUUGAAAAGACUGGACACCAUUGGAUGCUGUUGACAGGCCCU